UUGCCCGUCCUGGGGCCUGAAUCCAUUUCUUUAUUAAUAGAACAAAUACAGCAUGGACAGCAGCAGUGCAAGCUUCCUGCACAUCCACCGCCACCAAUGCCUCUGAACUGUGACUCUAAGGCACGGCUCUAGAGAGAGAAUAGAGUUUGUUCUCCGUGGCCCAUUCAGUCCUCGGCUUCU
ensembl:misc_RNA